UCCGUGGUGACGCGGAAUCUGAAGGAAGUCGGCGGCAAAUCUCCGGUCUGAGGAACACGAACUUCAUAUGAGGCCAGGUAUCAUUGGAUGAGAUUGCUAAACAAAUCAAAGUCCUUACUGCCAAAGGUGAUACAGAGUAAAUGAAGCAGAUAGGUGGAGAGGAAGAAUAUGUG
rfam:Bacillus cereus subsp. cytotoxis NVH 391-98, complete genome.